CAAACUAAUACUUUUUAUUUAACAGCCUGAUAACCUCAUGAUCGGAUGGUGCAUGUAGGGCACGCCUGCGGGCUAGUCUAUGCCUACUGUAUCCGGUGUUCUGGUGCAUCCGGUGCGACCUCAAAGAAUACGUUCUUCUAGCUGAACUUUGAGCUCCUCAGGGACGAUGCCUGGGGUGGAAGCAGUUCAACUACACGAUGAAGAAGUGAGUGAAGGGGUUAAGACGGUUGCGUUGGGCGUGCCCUGCUUGCUUGAUGGACACCAAACACCAGUUGAUCUAGAAUCAAUCUAUAUUAUUAGAUCGGAAGGGUGAACAGAGGUAGCAGUUGGGGAUACAGAGGAGUUCAUCAUCUCACUAUUCACUUCUCUACUCGCUUGAGGUACAACUCCUUAAAGCCACGCCUCCAUAUGCCCCAAAAGGCCAGACUAAGGUCUACAUUCCCAGUCACAUAUUCCAGGAACAAAAGGCUAACACACUGACAGGCCCAGUGCAUAACCAAAACGACUAAGCUACCGAGCUAUCAUAGGCUGGGCUGUGACAGUAACAUGUUUCCAAGUAGCAGAGUACAUAAUCUUUCAAAUUAUAGACAAGGAUAUAUAAGAAACACUGACCUAGGUACUUUGUAUUUUCUUCUAGCUGGUGCUCAAAAGCUAAUACGUACCUGGGGUUGCCAGAUACGUUUUCAAUUUCAUUCCAUGGUGGACAUCAGUGGAGCUGGAGAAAGUGAGCAUGUAACGAUAUCACUAUAUCAGUACAAUGGCGCAGAGCCAAAUCAGAACACAGGAAAGUGGUCAUUUCUCAGUUAUGAACUUAUGAUUGAUCACAGUAAGUUAGAAAACGUAAAAUGCAGCAAUUCAGAACUAAGAGGCACAACAUAACUAAUUGAACAUGACUGAACUAAUGGUAGUGCUUUCUGCUGCAGCAGCUUGCUUUUGGUUUUGCUCAUGACUACAUUUUCUCAAGAUUUUUAGGUUGCGCAGUUUGGCGGCGUCUGCACGCCCUACAUGUAGUUGUGCACCUCCUCCUCCUGUAUUCUUGCAUCUGAUCAAUGGUUUCAGCUCUCUAUUUAUCAAAGAUUAGAAUAUAUAUUCAGUAACAAUGCUUUCCUACAUUUGGUGGAUUAUUGCAUUUGUAUUUUUUUAUUGUUAUCAUGCUAGAAGAUUAUAUUCUGUAUGAAUGCUUUUAACAAUGCUUCGUCGGGCCGUUCCCGCCGAUGCUGCUGUUCGUGCUGUCCCCCCAGUGCCUAGCAUCACCGGCAACAAGUUCAGCGUUGUCCGACAAGGUGCCAUGCAGGGACAACCUCCGUCGACCUGUCAUCGAACUUCACUGCUUGAGGCAGGAGCAGUGACUAGCAUUGACCAGGAGGAGCAAGAAGCAGCGACAGCUACCAUUGCUGGCUGAGCUAGCUGCUAGGUUGCCUCUCUCUUUCCCUCAUAUUCAUAUAUGUGGGUUUGCAACAGCCAAAAGUACGCUUGUGAUUCUUUGUUUUUACUAACAAUCCAUAUUUGGAUGCCUUCUUUCUCCCCAGUUACUUGCGACGGGUUAUGGGCAACUGCAAGUUAGACGAAUCAGUACUGAAAACGUCUUCUGAAUGUUAAUAAAAAGCCAUUGGGGUAGAAAGCUAUAGAGAUAAUUGAUUUGUUUCGAUAUCUAUCUUUCUGUAUUCAGACUCAGGGGAGAAGGUGCCUCAUGCUCAUGGUAUAUAAGCUUGGCAUAGGUGUGGACUUCAAUGUCGGGUUUUGUGAAGAAGCAUUGCAAGACUCCAUCAGAAAAUGGACCCGUGGUAGACUGCAUCCGCAUCGGCGCACGGGCGAUGCCGACAUUGCACAGCGGCAGAGUGUGCAGAGUCCGCGCUUCUGACGGACCUUCACCACCAACUACCAUGCUCUCUUCCAGCCUUCUCGCUCCUCCCCAUCUCUAUGUCACAGCUCACAGGCUGGCCCAACCUCUGUUGCCUUCCUUUUCUGCCUCAGCUCCCCUAAACUAUCUGCACCGGUGUGACCUGCUUUUGUGAGACAGGAACUUGGGCGCGGUUCAGUCUUUUUUGGGGGGCUCAGUUCAGUCUGUGGUGUGGUUCGGUUCAAUGAAAGAACGAAGAUGUCUUGUGACCCGCUCCUGUGUGAGAUAGAAAAUUGGGCUCGCAGUCUGGGCUUGCAGAGUUGCAGUUCAGUUAUGGUGUGAUUAAGUUGAGAGUAAAAGAUUCUCUCAAAUAAAGUUGAGAGUAAAAGAAAGAAAAAGCAAAAGAGAGAGGAUAA